rnacentral:lncRNA from 10 species
UUUCAGUCAUCAUGGUGCAGGCAAGAAUGUAACAUCACCUGGGUGCUAGAUCCAGUGAUAUGUCACAAUCCCUACUGACAGAAGGGUCCAGGAAAAAGAGUUACAUCACGUAAAGGCUGGUGCAGGCAGGGCCAAGUCAGAAGAGUCACAUCACCUGGAUACAGCCUCAAGUCAUGUGGUACCAUGUCCACUGUAGACAGGGCUGAAGAAGAAGAGGAGAGUCACAUCACCUAGCUGCUGGGCUCAGCAAUAUGUAACAAUCCCCUCUUUUGGCAGACUCCAGAAUAAAGAGGAGAGUUGCAUUACCUAGGUUUUGCACUCAGUGGUAUGUCACAAUUCCUUUAGUGGGCAGGACCUAGGCAGGAGAGAAGAGUCACAUUUCCUAGAUGCUAUGUCCAACGAUGUCACAAUGUUCCUUGG